rnacentral:rRNA from 1 species
CGUACAGGUCUCCGUAGGUGAACCUGCGGAGGGAUCAUUACACAAAUAUGAAGGCGGGCUGGAACCUCUCGGGGUUACAGCCUUGCUGAAUUAUUCACCCUUGUCUUUUGCGUACUUCUUGUUUCCUUGGUGGGUACGCCCACCACUAGGACAAACAUAAACCUUUUGUAAUUGCAAUCAGCGUCAGUAACAAAUUAAUAAUUACAACUUUCAACAACGGAUCUCUUGGUUCUGGCAUCGAUGAAGAACGCAGCGAAAUGCGAUAAGUAGUGUGAAUUGCAGAAUUCAGUGAAUCAUCGAAUCUUUGAACGCACAUUGCGCCCUUUGGUAUUCCAAAGGGCAUGCCUGUUCGAGCGUCAUUUGUACCCUCAAGCUUUGCUUGGUGUUGGGCGUCUUGUCUCUAGCUUUGCUGGAGACUCGCCUUAAAGUAAUUGGCAGCCGGCCUACUGGUUUCGGAGCGCAGCACAAGUCGCACUCUCUAUCAGCAAAGGUCUAGCAUCCAUUAAGCCUUUUUUUCAACUUUUGACCUCGGAUCAGGUAGGGAUACCCGCUAAACUUAAGCAUAUC